rnacentral:rRNA from 1 species
UACGGGGGGAGCAAGCGUUGUUCGGAUUUACUGGGCGUAAAGGGCGCGUAGGCGGUCAGCACAAGUCAGUUGUGAAAUCUCCGGGCUUAACUCGGAAAGGUCAACUGAUACUGUGCGACUAGAGUGCGGAAGGGGCAACUGGAAUUCUCGGUGUAGCGGUGAAAUGCGUAGAUAUCGGGAGGAACACCAGUGGCGAAGGCGACUUCCUGGCCUGUUCUUGACGCUGAGGCGCGAAAGCUAGGGGAGCAAACGGG